GGCUGGCUCCUCCGGGCUCCUUCCUUCCUUCCUUCCCCCGCGGCGGGAGCGAGUGAGUGACACGCGGGUCCCGGCUGCCCCCAGCGCCGUAGUAGAUGCAGGGAUGUCUGCGGUACGAGGCUGCUCCGCUCCCCGGCAAGAACAUCUAACGGAAAUUAACAUCUAGUGAAAUGAGAACAUAGCAUUCAUGAAGCAGGCUUGGCAUUUGGGGGAUCAAUCCCUUAGUGAGCAGUGGCAUGAUGUUACUAGCUGAUGACUGUCUUCUGUGAGAUGAACAGAUGGUCUUAUUCAGCUCUUGAUGGAAAAGUAUCCACCUAACACAACUUGCACUGUUGGCAUCCUCAGCAAAGGCCAAGGAAUUAACGGAAACUAAACUAUGUUUUCAUCCCUCCAUAACAGAAUUAAAGCAUGUUG